GGAGUUUCGUAUAUUAUUACUAUUAUAUACACACAUCGAACGACUAUGUGUUAUAAAUAGAUAGGUAUAUAGUAUAUACCUAUACCUAACCGCUGGUAUAUAUAAUAUAGUUGUGUGGAAAAUACAUACCAUCACGGCGGCGAAGACGACGAUAUAGCCGAUCAUAUAUUGUGUUGGGCAUGUGUACACUAUAUUAUAUACCUACAUAAUACCUGCAGCGAACGUUUCGUAUAAUAUAAGCACAUUAUUACUAUUAUUAUUAUUAUUAUUAUUAUUAUCAUCAUCAUCAUCAUCAUCAUCGUCAUCAUUAUUGUUGUUGUUACGUAUUAUAGUGGAUCCUCGUGGAUUUUCUUCAAUGCAUAUAGCUCUUUAGAAAGAAUUUUUUCUUUUAGUUUUUGAAGAUGACGCGCGUUGUAUACCGGCGCGUGCAGCGUCGGUACACGCGUGUAAUAUUUCGCCCAAGAAGAAUAGUACGUGAACGUAAUAAUAAUAUAAUAGUAAUAAUAAUAAUAAUAAUAAUAACUAAUAAUAAUCAUCAUAAUGGCGUGAGCCGUAAUAAUGAAAUAGCUUAGCGCCUCGAUUGGUCGGCAACGGUGCACAUAGAGUUUGAAUUUUACCCUUUUUUCUUUUUAUAUACAUAAUAUACUCACAUACCUGUGUAUUACACCCAUAUAUUACUAUUUUAAUAUUAUGUGUUUUGUUUGUGUAUAAUAUUAUGAGGCCACGUGUCGAAUCCGUUGUUCUUCGAGUCCGUGUAGGAUAUAAUAUUAUAGUAGGUAUAGUACAUGUAUUGUACACAACCACCGUCUUAUUAAUCCGAUGUUGUCUACUUGCCUAUUAUACGACUAUGAAGACGAUGACGAUGACUACGACGGUAAUAAUGCGACGCGCGCGUAUAACCUCCGUCAAACGAGCCGAAUCAAACACACGUAUACACACACACACACUUUAUGUUUUUUAAUUUAUUUGUUAUUACUUAUUACUUAUUAUUAUUUAUUAUUACUUUUUUUUUUUUGAUUUAUGGACGUCUCCUAGUAUACCUACGCUUUAACGAACCUGUAAAAUACUGUACCAAUAAAAUAAUUAUAAUUAUGAUGGUCGGUAUAGAUUCAAGAUUGGAAUGAUGAUGACGAUGACAAUGCGUUCGUCUCGCCAAUGUCGUCUGCCACAGCAGAAUAUUUUAUUUAAUAAUAACAUAAUAUAAUAGGCAUUGUUAUAAUAAUACUAUCGGGAGCUGAUAGUAUUUUGCACCUGCAGUUUUAGUAGUACCUAAGUACUUGUAAUUUGCACCACAUCUAUAAAUAUUAAUUUUGGUAAUCUGAGCCAAGACGGAAAACGAAAUAGCAUGAUAUUAUGUACAAUCCCCACCACACUUUCAAUUUCAGUUUUUGGAAUUUACCUGAUUAAUUUACUGAGCUCACAUCAGCCAUAGUCCAUAACUGCACGCGUGAAUAAAUAACAUGGACUAAUAAUAGCAUAAGUAAUAUGAACAACUGGAUAAUGAAUAUGCAUAUUUCUGAUUUUUACAUAUUCUUCAAUUAUUACUACCUAACUGAAAUAUUACUAAUUUAUAAUAUAUUAUAUAUUAUAAAGUACCUAUGUACAUACAAAAUUACAAUAAACUUACGUUUUUUAUGUACCUACCUACAUUUUAAUAAUUGUCUUGAAAUGUAUCUGUUAACAUGAACUAGAUUGAUGAAUGAUUUAUAUUAAUAAAUAAAAAAGGAAAAUUAUUAAUAAAUAUUUUAAGGUCGUAUGCAAAUCACAAUUUUGUAAAGUGAUACGAAUGGCUCAAAUUACAAUUAUUUUUGGUACAAGAUUGCGGAGAUUACAUAAGCCUUUUUAUCUAGUUUUGUGUGGCCGCAAAUUUUGAUUGUAGGUAUCGAAAAUAAUUUUAGAUGUGGCGCAAAUUACAUUUUUAUUUCGGUCGUUUUUGGAGCGAUUAAUUACACAGGUACCGCGCGCCUACAUUAUCAACUGUAAUCAAAAAA